AUGGCCGACGACGAGAACGCAAUCCUCGACGGCCUCCUCGCCGUCCCGGAGCCUGACGAGUCUAGCUGGAACAAGUUCAUAUGCUUGGUGGGUCUCUCCUUCUUGGCGUCUUUCAUCACCUGCGUGUUGCUGCUGCUCUUUUACGCCGCCUUCUCGAGCUAUUUCAGCACUGCGCUCUCCAUCGUCGCGCUCGUCGUGGGCCUUGUGCUCUUAGUGGCAUCAACCGCACUUUUCGCCCUUCACGAGAAUCUUUGCUUGCAACGGAGACAUGGUAACCCAGAUGGACAAAGGCUCGUAGAUAGGUUCAUCCAGUUCGAUGUGUCCUUUUGGGAUUGCGUUGGUUGGCAUGACAUAUUUCAUGGCAAUAAUAAUCCAAACUUGCAUCAGCACCAUCCACAACAAAUCGUGUAUGUCAUCAUUGGAGGUUAA
rnacentral:rRNA from 1 species